AUAAUUACCUGGCAAGAGAGAUAUGAUCACAGAGGUGAUUUUCCCAAGAUGAAGCUUAUCCAUUGCAUUCCAAAUGUUGUGCUGACCCCUAUGAUUUCCUCAAAUGUGGGAAACUUGACUGCAUAAUUUGUGGUAGUGGGGGACUGCGUUUGCACUCUCAAA
rnacentral:snRNA from 1 species